rnacentral:rRNA from 2 species
UUCACCGUAAGAAGUUGAGUGGCGGACGGGUGAGUAACACGUGGGUAACCUGCCUAAAAGAAGGGGAUAACACUUGGAAACAGGUGCUAAUACCGUAUAUCUCUAAGGAUCGCAUGAUCCUUAGAUGAAAGAUGGUUCUGCUAUCGCUUUUAGAUGGACCCGCGGCGUAUUAACUAGUUGGUGGGGUAACGGCCUACCAAGGUGAUGAUACGUAGCCGAACUGAGAGGUUGAUCGGCCACAUUGGGACUGAGACACGGCCCAAACUCCUACGGGAGGCAGCAGUAGGGAAUCUUCCACAAUGGACGCAAGUCUGAUGGAGCAACGCCGCGUGAGUGAAGAAGGUCUUCGGAUCGUAAAACUCUGUUGUUAGAGAAGAACACGAGUGAGAGUAACUGUUCAUUCGAUGACGGUAUCUAACCAGCAAGUCACGGCUAACUACGUGCCAGCAGCCGCGGUAAUACGUAGGUGGCAAGCGUUGUCCGGAUUUAUUGGGCGUAAAGGGAACGCAGGCGGUCUUUUAAGUCUGAUGUGAAAGCCUUCGGCUUAACCGGAGUAGUGCAUUGGAAACUGGAAGACUUGAGUGCAGAAGAGGAGAGUGGAACUCCAUGUGUAGCGGUGAAAUGCGUAGAUAUAUGGAAGAACACCAGUGGCGAAAGCGGCUCUCUGGUCUGUAACUGACGCUGAGGUUCGAAAGCGUGGGUAGCAAACAGGAUUAGAUACCCUGGUAGUCCACGCCGUAAACGAUGAAUGCUAGGUGUUGGAGGGUUUCCGCCCUUCAGUGCCGCAGCUAACGCAAUAAGCAUUCCGCCUGGGGAGUACGACCGCAAGGUUGAAACUCAAAGGAAUUGACGGGGGCCCGCACAAGCGGUGGAGCAUGUGGUUUAAUUCGAAGCAACGCGAAGAACCUUACCAGGUCUUGACAUCCUUUGACCACCUAAGAGAUUAGGCUUUCCCUUCGG